rnacentral:rRNA from 1 species
AGAUCAAGCGUUUUAAGGGCGUUCAGUGGAUGCCUUGGCGCUGGGAGGCGAUGAAAGACGUGGUACGCUGCGAUAAGCUUCGGGGAGUUGCGAACAAACUUUGAUCCGAAGAUUUCUGAAUGGGGAAACCCACCGCGUAUGCGGUAUCGUAUGCUGAAUACAUAAGCAUGCGAGGCAAACCCGGGGAACUGAAACAUCUAAGUACCCGGAGGAAAGGACAUCAACCGAGACUCCGAAAGUAGUGGCGAGCGAAAUCGGACCAGGCCAGUGGCCAACAAGAUUCAACCGGAAGCGUCUGGAAAGGCGCGCCGUAGUGGGUGACAGCCCCGUACGGGUUCAGGUCUUGUUGGUCCUUGAGUAGGGCGGGACACGUGAAAUCCUGUCUGAACAUGGGAGGACCACCUUCCAAGCCUAAGUACUCCCCAGCGACCGAUAGUGAACAAGUACCGUGAGGGAAAGGUGAAAAGCACCCCGACGAGGGGAGUGAAACAGAUCCUGAAACUGGAUGCCUACAAGCAGUCGGAGCCGCCUUGCGCGGUGACGGCGUACCUUUUGUAUAAUGGGUCAGCGAGUUGGUCUCUCAUGCAAGCUUAAGCCGUUAGGUGUAGGCGCAGCGAAAGCGAGUCUUAAAUGGGCGACAAGUAUGAGGGAUCAGACCCGAACGCAGGUGAUCUAGAUAUGAGCAGGCUGAAGGUGCGGUAACACGCACUGGAGGGCCGAACCCACCUAUGUUGAAAAAUGGGGGGAUGACUUGUGUCUAGGGGUGAAAGGCCAAUCAAACCUGCAGAUAGCUGGUUCUCCGCGAAAUCUAUUUAGGUAGAGCGUCAUGUGAAUACUCUCGGGGGUAGAGCACUGGAUGGGCUAUGGGGACUCACCGUCUUACUGAUCCUAACCAAACUCCGAAUACCGAGAAGUACUGCAUGGCAGACACACGGCGGGUGCUAAGGUCCGUCGUGGAAAGGGAAACAGCCCUGACCGCCAGCUAAGGUCCCAAAGUAAUGGCUAAGUGGAAAAGGAUGUGGAAGUGCUUAGACAAUCAGGAGGUUGGCUUAGAAGCAGCCAUCCUUUAAAGAAAGCGUAACAGCUCACUGAUCAAGCGCUUCCGCGCCGAAGAUGUACCGGGGCUCAAGCCAUUCACCGAAGCUGCGGACUCCCCUUGUGGGAGUGGUAGCGGAGCGUUCCGUAAGCCUGUGAAGCUGUCCUGCGAGGGAUGGUGGAGGUAUCGGAAGUGAGAAUGCUGACAUGAGUAGCGAUAAAGAGUGUGAGAGACACUCUCGCCGAAAGUCCAAGGGUUCCUGCGCAAUGCUAAUCAGCGCAGGGUUAGCCGGCCCCUAAGGCGAGGCCGAAAGGCGUAGUCGAUGGGAACCAGGUAAAUAUUCCUGGGCCAGUGGGUAGUGACGGAUUCCGUGUAUCGUCAAUCCUUAUCGGAUUGGAUUGGCGGUGAAGGAGUCCCUGGAAAUAGCUCCCACAUUAGACCGUACCCCAAACCGACACAGGUGGACAGGUAGAGCAUACCAAGGCGCUUGAGAGAACUCUGUUGAAGGAACUCGGCAAAUUACCCCCGUAACUUCGGGAGAAGGGGGCCUCUGCAUCGGGCAACCGGUGUGGAGGGGCACAGACCAGGGGGUGGCGACUGUUUACUAAAAACAUAGGGCUCUGCGAAGUCGCAAGACGACGUAUAGGGUCUGACGCCUGCCCGGUGCCGGAAGGUUAAAGGGCGGAGUGAGAGCUCCAAACUGAAGCCCCGGUAAACGGCGGCCGUAACUAUAACGGUCCUAAGGUAGCGAAAUUCCUUGUCGGGUAAGUUCCGACCUGCACGAAUGGCGUAACGACUUCCCCACUGUCUCCAACAGAGACUCAGCGAAAUUGAAUUCUCCGUGAAGAUGCGGAGUUCCCGCGGUCAGACGGAAAGACCCCGUGCACCUUUACUACAGCUUUGCAGUGGCGUUAGUGACGACUUGUGCAGGAUAGGUGGGAGGCUUUGAAGCGUGGGCGCCAGCUCAUGUGGAGCCACCGUUGAAAUACCACCCUUGUCCUCAUUGACGUCUAACCGCGGUCCAUGAACCUGGAUCCGGGACCCUGCAUGGCGGGUAGUUUGACUGGGGCGGUCGCCUCCUAAAUGGUAACGGAGGCGCGCGAAGGUUGGCUCAGAACGGUCGGAAAUCGUUCGCUGAGUGCAAUGGCAUAAGCCAGCCUGACUGCGAGACUGACAGGUCGAGCAGAGUCGAAAGACGGCCAUAGUGAUCCGGUGGUCCCGCGUGGAAGGGCCAUCGCUCAACGGAUAAAAGGUACGCCGGGGAUAACAGGCUGAUACUGCCCAAGAGUCCAUAUCGACGGCAGUGUUUGGCACCUCGAUGUCGGCUCAUCACAUCCUGGGGCUGGAGCAGGUCCCAAGGGUUCGGCUGUUCGCCGAUUAAAGUGGUACGUGAGCUGGGUUUAGAACGUCGUGAGACAGUUCGGUCCCUAUCUGCCGUGGGUGUUGGAGACUUGAGAGGAGCUGCCCCUAGUACGAGAGGACCGGGGUGGACGUACCACUGGUGGACCUGUUGUCGUGCCAACGGCAGUGCAGGGUAGCUAUGUACGGACUGGAUAACCGCUGAAAGCAUCUAAGCGGGAAGCCCCCCUCAAAACUAGGUCUCCCUUGAGAGCCGUGGAAGACCACCACGUUGAUAGGCUGGGUGUGGAAGUGCGGCAACGCAUGAAGCUGACCAGUACUAAUUGCUCGAUAGGCUUGAUCACAACUCGCUC